rnacentral:rRNA from 1 species
UACGUAUGGGGCAAGCGUUAUCCGGAUUUACUGGGUGUAAAGGGAGCGCAGGCGGCAAGGCAAGUCAGAAGUGAAAACCCGGGGCUCAACCCCGCGGAUUGCUUUUGAGACUGUUUAGCUGGAGUGCAGGAGGGGCAAGCGGAAUUCCUAGUGUAGCGGUGAAAUGCGUAGAUAUUAGGAAGAACACCGGUGGCGAAGGCGGCUUGCUGGACUGUAACUGACGCUGAGGCUCGAAGGCGUGGGGA